rnacentral:rRNA from 1 species
GAUAGCCCGGAGAAAUCCGGAUUAAUAUCCCAUAGUAUAAUUGAAUGGCAUCAUUUAAUUAUUAAAGAUUUAUCGGUACAAGAUGAGCAUGCGUCCCAUUAGCUAGUUGGUAUGGUAACGGCAUACCAAGGCAAUGAUGGGUAGGGGUCCUGAGAGGGAGAUCCCCCACACUGGUACUGAGACACGGACCAGACUCCUACGGGAGGCAGCAGUGAGGAAUAUUGGUCAAUGGAGGCAACUCUGAACCAGCCAUGCCGCGUGCAGGAUGACGGUCCUAUGGAUUGUAAACUGCUUUUAUACAGGAAGAAACCCUACUACGUGUAGUAGACUGACGGUACUGUAAGAAUAAGGAUC